AUGUUGUUCACUCUCAGCCAAACUGCUUUGUUUUCACAGAAUACGCUGCUGUCAUUCACAGUGGGCGGAGUCUUCAAAGAAGUUGUUGUAGAUGAUAAAUCUAAAGAAUCUACAAGGUUUUCAUCACAGUUCCAGCAGUGGAUUCUGGUUUGUGCAUCAUCAACGACCAGCUCUUCAUCAGAAUGGCUACAACGGAGCAGAUCAGCAGAGCUUUUGUGCCCCGCCCCCUUCCUCCAGCCCAGUGCCCACCCUCACUGCCCCACAGCAGGAGAUGCUCAGCACCUUCUCCCUGAAGUCAGACAUGAACCUGGAAUGGUCCCUGAAGUGUCUGCAGGACAACAAGUGGGACUUGAACAAAGCAAAACUGUUUUCCAAAUAUUUUCACUAAAAUCAGAGUUAAUAACUUUUAAAAUAUAAUUUAUUUUCAAAGGAAGAAGAAAAACAUUAUGGUUCAAUGUCUGCUUCAAUAAUUUAUUUCUCUUUUUUAAUAAACACUUUUUUUCAAAUAAAGUAAAAGCA
rnacentral:lncRNA from 1 species